rnacentral:misc_RNA from 1 species
CAGAGUAUAACUCGCAACCCUUGUGGACCACAGAACGUUGCCUCGGCGGUCUCGGCCGCCAGGCGUUAAACGAUCAACUAGAAGUCUGAGUGAAAACGAAUAUCA